UACGUAGGUGGCAAGCGUUAUCCGGAAUUAUUGGGCGUAAAGCGCUCGCAGGCGGUUUCUUAAGUCUGAUGUGAAAGCCCACGGCUCAACCGUGGAGGGUCAUUGGAAACUGGGAGACUUGAGUGCAGAAGAGGAGAGUGGAAUUCCAACGUGUAGCGGUGAAAUGCGUAGAGAUGUGGAGGAACACCAGUGGCGAAGGCGAACUCUCUGGUCUGGUAACUGACGCUGAGGAGCGAAAAGCGUGGG
rnacentral:rRNA from 1 species